rnacentral:sRNA from 1 species
AUUAGAGACUUAGAAGUCUUCACUUUCCCAUCCCCAGCCCCACCUUCAUGUGUACGUUGUAAAAGAGGCUGCAGCAAGAGGGCAAUACCAAUAUCUAUUCCAGGGGAAGAAUUUGGUAAUGAUGGGCUUUCAGGAAUAAAGGUUUGAGGGAAAAGCUGAGAUUUCAUCACUUAUAAGUGAGCCGCUGUAGAAGCCAGUCAAGUGUAUUGCGUGACAAAAAGCGUUGGCAUCCACGGGAGGAAGAAGUGUUCAGGCAGCAUGUGACUGGUUAUUCUCCCACGUUGGUGACCCCUUCCUGGAUGACCCCCUGCCCCGGGAGUACGUCCUCUACCUCCGUCCCACCGGCCCCUUAGCACAGAAGCUUUCUGACUUUUGGCAGCAGUCGAAGCAGAUCUGCGGGAAGAACAAGGCACACAACAUCUUCCCCCACAUCACACUCUGCCAGUUCUUUAUGUGCGAGGACAGCAAGGUGGAUGCCCUGGGGGAAGCCCUGCAGACCACGGUCAGUCGCUGGAAAUGUAAGUUCUCAGCCCCGCUGCCCCUGGAGCUCUAC